rnacentral:ncRNA from 1 species
UUUUUUGAGGAUUUGAUCCUGGUCCAGGAUGAACGCUGGCGGCGUGCCUUAGGCAUGCAAGUCGUUCGGUCUGCAAGACCGAACAAUUAACAGUUAACCAAUUGACAAAUUGACAACUAACGAAUUAACAUUGAAGAGUGAAAACUUUUAGAUUUCUAGAUUUCCAAGUCUACAAAGACGCAAAAAUCUUUUAUAAGCAAUGUGUUUCUUUAACUCGAAAGUUUCCCAGAGAUUAUUGGGAGCUUGGGGAUCAAUUAAGAAGAGCAGCAUUGUCGGUAUGUUUGAACAUUGCUGAGGGAUCAGCAAAAUAUUCAGACCGCGAUUUUAAAAGAUUUAUCGAGAAUUCUUUGGGAUCUAUUAACGAAGCAGUUGCUUGUUUAGAUAUUGCUUUUGAUAAUGAGUUAAUUUCAAACAAUUCUUUAAGCGAAAUGAAGCUUUUGGGUGAAAGUAUCACUAAACAACUAGGUGGUCUAUCGAAAAAACUUCGUUCUUCUAGUUAAUUUGUUAAAUUGUUAAUCUUGUUAAUUUGUUAUUUUGUUGAGGGUUCUGUCUUGCAGACAGAGGCAGACGGGUGAGUAACGCGUAGGAAUCUACCUCUGGGUGGAACAUAGCCGUCCGAAAGGAUGGGUAAUAUUCCAUAGUCCCUGAGAGAAAUCGAAUGGGUAAAGCAUUAACUUUGCGCCGAGAGAGGAGCCUGCGUCCUAUCAGCUUGUUGGUGGGGUAAUAGCCUACCAAGGCGAUGACGGGUAGCUGGACUGAGAGGUCGAUCAGCCACAACUGCACUGAGACACGGGCAGUACACCU